UAAGUGGGCCAUCUCGAGGGUGCUCAGAGAAAACUUAAAUUCUGCUAUUUAGUUUGUAAUUGUGGCCCUAGGCUUGACGGGGAACAGUACCAGCGACUCAUCGCUAAGUUCUCCUUGCUUAAAGGAGGCAUCUGUGAGCUUUGGUAACUUCGUUGAUGCUCAAGGUGAGAGAACGAGUAGAAGGAAAUAACAGGAAAACUGUCAAGGAAAGCAACGUGGGGCUGAGUGGUUCAGUGAUGGAAGGCAACUGGAGGGGUAUAACUGAGUGUAACUCAGAUGUAUCAGGAAAACUUGUCUAAGGAAGUCCUGAAGGCCCAGUGUAUUGUUCUGAAGUAGGUGGAACAAGGCUACGUAAUU
rnacentral:lncRNA from 1 species